CGGCGGAGUGGCGGCUCAGCCAGGGCCCGAGAACUGCCCCCGCCCCCGAGCCGAGCCUUGGAAGGAAAGAAAACGCCAGGCCUAGAGCGUAUGAGGAUCCCCUCUGGACAAGGCCACUGAGAGAAAAUGCCAGCCUGGAUGCUCCAUGAGUGAAGACCAAGAUUGUGUUUCUAAACCAUUGCCUCACCAGUGCCUAGAACAGAGCUUAGGCACAAACUCAGCCCUCAGACGUGUGUGCAUGAAUGACCCUGAGGCACUGCUGUGGGCUGGACCCUAUGCUGGAUGCUGAGAUUACAGAGACCAGGCCCAGAGGCUGCUGGGAAAGAGGGUCGUGAGGGGCAUCGAGGAGGGGUCCUGGACCCAACCGAAGGACAAGAGGACAAGGAGGAGUUCGCCAGCUGGAGAGCAGUGAUGGAGCGGGUCCUGAAACUGGGCUGAGCUAAUGCAUGAAUGUGUGGAGGGUCUGUCUCCUUCUCCACAGCUCCAGCUCCAUGAGGGCAAGGCAGACAUCUGCACUCUUGUCUCCCGCUUGGUGCUUGGGGGAAUGUUGGGUCCCUUCUCUGCAGCCAAAGAGUAGUUUUAGUUGAUGGAUCUUCCUUCUCAGCGUGGAACAUGGCUGGUCUCCCGUGCUCCUCACUGCAUGGCUUGUGCCCUCUGUUCUCAGCUCUACUUUCAGGCCCUUGCCUGGGAAAGCUGCAUCUUUUCCCACCUGAGCUACACCCUCUGCCUCCCACCCACUCCACGGUUCCCUGCCCCUCACCUUCUCUGCUCAGCCCACUCACCUGGCUCUGACCAUCUCAGUGGGUGGGUGCCAGCGUGUACCCGCUUCCCAUGAGAUUUGUUGAUUUCAUAACCAUAAAUAGAUGAAAUGUUCUGAAUGCUUCCCUAGGCAAGGAGAAUUGGGGGAGUGAUAACAUAAUGAAAGGACCUUAAGAGAAAGAAAACAGCCUGCUAAGAGGCAGCCUUUGCACAAACCAGCUCUAUACGAGGAUUAUGUUUUUACUGCAGGCGGGUAGACUCUAGACCCAGGAUGGGGGAGGUACUUGGGAAGCUGUUCAUCUUCACAUGGUUUCAAACUCAUGGAUUCAAAAGAACAACCUAGUUGAUAGUGGAAAGAAGAAGAAAUCAGGAAAUUUGGGUUCAAAUUCUGGGUUUAUCUCAUUCUAUUUCAUAGCUGUCUGACUGCACAAGUUACUAAAUCUCUCUGAGAAAGUGUAUAGAGAUUCUUCCCCUGGGUUAGACUGGAGGCUUUACAAGGCCUGAGACUCCACAGGCCUAUCAUUUUCCUCCCACCAGCACAUUCUGUCUUCCCGUUAAUACCUUAAUCGCCACCCAAAGUGUGGUCCUGAGGCUGUGGUUGGGUUAGGAUGAAAUGGAUGUCCUGACUCUUCAUUGCUAACUCCAACUCAUAUUGUCAGGGGAAUAGGAUGUGGAACAUCACUCCUGCAUGGGAAGGCUCCAUCUACACGGCUACAGAGGGACUAGAAGCUAGUAAGGACCUAGCCCAUAGGGCUUCCCAAUCUCUUCACUCUUAAGGAGCACAGGGACACCACUGCUCCGUAGCAUUUAGAAGAGUGAAAGGAGAUGAAAUGACAUUUUAGUAUGCCCUGGGCCCAGAGAGCUUCUAGGUGAGAGAGAGGCAGGCAAGCAAAAAUAUUCCUAGUGUGAAUUCAUCCUCUACUCCAAAAGAAAGUCUUUUUUCUGUUAAGGGUCAGUUAGUAAAUAUUUUAGGUUUUCAGGCCAUAUGGUCUCUGUUGCAACUGUUCA
ensembl:lncRNA